rnacentral:rRNA from 1 species
UACAGAGGCCUCGAGCGUUAGGCGGAAUCACUGGGCUUAAAGCGUGUGUAGGCGGUCUUCUAAGUGCCUUGUGAAAUCCCACGGCUCACCCGUGGAACUGCUGGGCAUACUGGGAGUCUUGAGCCACCUAGGGGCGAGCGGAACAAAUGGUGGAGCGGUGAAAUGCGUAGAUAUCAUGUGGAACGCCAGCGGAGAAAUCAGCUCGCUGGGGGUGUGCUGACGCUGAGACACGAAAGCCAGGGGAGCGAACGGG